GAUGAACGCUGGCGGCGUGCCUAACACAUGCAAGUCGAGCGGCAGCGAGGGGUGCUUCCCCCCUGUCGUCGAGCUGCAGACGGCUGAGUAACGCGUGGGAACGUGCCCCCAAGUGCGGACUACCUGCCCGAAAGGGUAGCUAAUGCCGCAUCGUAUCUACGGCUCAAAGAGUUGGUCAGGUUUGGGCGCGGCUCGCGUCGGAUUAGGUAGUUGGUGAGGUAAUGGCUCACCAAGCCGACGAUCCGUAGCCGGUCUGAGAGGAUGACCGGCCAGACUGGAACUGAGACACGGUCCAGACUCCUACGGGAGGCAGCAGUGGGGAAUCUUCCACAAUGGGCGAAAGUCUGAUGGAGCAACGCCGCGUGCAGGACGAAGGCAUUCGUGUUGUAAACUGCUGUUAUAAGUGAAGAAUAUGACGGUACCUUAUGAAUAAGCACCGGCUAACUACGUG
rnacentral:rRNA from 1 species